GUUUUUUUUCCUGAUUCUGCCAAGUUUCUAUCCUGAAUGGUAUUUAUGGUGAGUUUUGAUAAUUUUCCUUAUCUAGUGUCUCUAAUUUUAAAUUAAGUAGAGGAAUAAAGUUAAAGCAACAACAGUAACAAAAAUUAUCAGCUUUUUGAUUGCAGGCAGUGUUCUACAUAUUACAACAUACAGGCUAUAUAGACGUCAAAUAAAAAGAUUUACAUCAGUGAUUUGUAUAAAAUUGUUUCUAUUAAAAAAAAAGUGAAGGGAUGAUCCCCAAAAGCUGUCAUGUUAUCUUGGCAGGUUUUAGCACUUAGAUUAUUCAUUUCUCGGUCAUAAAUACACGACUUGGUUCAGAUAAGUUUAGUUAUAUAAUAUUCCUAUACAUUGUAUUUCAAGGAUGCUUUUUUGCUGAAGUCUUACCUGAGUGUAGAUUCCAUCAUUCCUCAGUCUAAUACCCCUCAGGUAUAAAAUACUCAGGUUGCCCUGAGUUAUUGAGUUACCUUAUUCUCAGGAGUGACUGGCAUUGAUUUUUUUUUUUUUUUUUUUUAAGAUUAAAGCACAAGAUAUUAUUAAAAUUUCUUAAAUGCACAUGAAACAGAUAAAGUAGUUCUCUAGCAUCCCUAGUUUUACCCUACUAGGUUGCUGGAUUUUUUCUUCGUACUUUUGUGAGCAACUCUCAGUUUCUUCUCCUUCCAUUAACACAAACCUCUGUGAACCCAGAAGGAAGUCUAGGUUGAUUUGCUUCUCACAGCUACUUUCAUAGGCCAACAAGUAAUUUCUAGUAUACCUGAAUUCAAAUGUUUGUGAAAACUCUUCUGAUUUUCUUAUCAACAAAGCAUCGUCAUCAGCUCUUCCUGAGGAUGAAAAUACAUUUGGAAGCAGCCACUGCCAGGGUAAUGUAACUGAAAUAUUCUCCUGAGGACAAUAAGCAACCUCUUUUAGGGUAGCAAUGAUAUGGCAUAAAUGUACUCUCUAAGGACAAAAUAACUGAUGCAUUUCCCUGGGGGUUGUUAUGAUUCUGCUACAGAAAGCUUACUGUGGAAAGAUAAUGCAAAUAAAGGCUGCUUGUCAUGGAAACACACAAGAGAUUGUGCAGGGCUUUACUUUUUCCUUUUUUUUUUUUUCCUAAAAACCUCAUUUAGGAAUGAGAAUAGGCUUUUAUUUUACAAAAGCUGAAGACCUAGACUACUUUACACUGCCCCAUUAGGAAGAGAUUUUUUUGCUGGCUGUCUGGAUAGCAUAUACAGUUUAGGCAGAGAUGUCAGCAUGGCUAGCAUUAAGGUUUUUCGACACUUUUUUUUUUUAGUAACAUGUAGUUCUCACUAACUCAUACCUUUGCCAACCAGCUAUGUGAUUUUUUUUUCUGUUCUGAGUGGUUUUCUACACAUACACAGAAAUAUAUAUUCCCUUUAAUUAUUUAUUUUAUUUUAUUUUAAUUAUGUAUUUAUUUGGUUCAGUCAAAGUAGUUGCAGUUGUCUCUGCAGCUUAAUCUAAGAAAGUAGUAUAGUGCUGGUUUGGGGUUCUAUAUAUUUUAUUCUGUCUUUAUUCUCUUGAGCCUUUGCUUUUCAGAAAACUUAGGCUUUGGUGAUGGCCUUUAGCAUUGCUAUGCCUUUUCUAACCCUAUGGAAAUCUAUCCACAUUUUUAAAACACAAGACUAAGAAUUGUGGUUAAUUCUUAGAGAGAUAUAUUGCUAUUGCAGACAAUCCCUUCACAACUUCUUUUUGCUUGAGCAAACUGGAUGUUGUCUGUUCUCACACAGCAUCUACAUGUCCAGACUCUUAAUGAACAAUCUCCUAAGAGUGAGGAUGUACCAAGUGCCAGAGCUUUGGUAAGUGGCAGGACUGGAAAUGUGCCAUCCUGGAGUGGAACCGCUGCUGCAUGGUGCUUAGCACUGUAAGAAGGGGUGCAGAGAAAGGCCCCCGGUUAAAACUGGGAGCUUGUGUUCUUGGUAAUCCCUCAAUGAAAGGGUGGGAAAAAAUAACCGAUUGAAACGAACAUGGUAAUGGGGCAGGAUCUGCAUGUAAGGGACAUGAGCCUAAAAAAGGAACAGCUAGUGUGACCUUGGUCUGGGAACAGCAGAAAAGCAGUGCCUGAUGGAGAGGUAAAGCUUGCUUAGAUUGCUUGGAUUUCACAGCAUUUGCUGACACAACAGAAGAGGGCAUCCUCUUCUUGUCUCUAACAGAAGAUGCAGUACUGUUAACUGCGCUGCAUCUAAAUGAGACUGCAGUUCUGUAAUUGGAAAGUUCCAGGUUUUCAGUUGUAAUGGCCUUCAGCACUGCUGCAGGCUUCCUCGUGGAGAAACAAAUUUGUGCCAGCUUGCUGAAUAACCUCAGUAAUGUUCAGUCACUCAGAACUUCUCCAUCUGUGUGUCCAUCCAUCCACAGAACCAGAUGCUCUGAAAAACACCUCAUCCACCUUGCCUGAUAUAUCAACAUCUGAAAUACAUUGCUACCAUAACUGACGUUUCCAGCCCUACAAGCAAAGGCAAUGACUGACCUGCCUGGAGCCCUCAGUUGUUUAGCUGGUCAGGUAUUUACAGCUGCUGCAGUGAGAAUCAACAGCAAAACUCUACUAAAUUGCUAUGACAAGAAAAAAGAAAACAAAGCACAAAACAUGAAGAGGCAUGGCUGUGACACUACACCCUUCUGUUCUGCAGAUAUUUGUAAUGCUUUUAUGCUGUGCUGGUAUAAAUAGAUACAAGAAAUUUAAUAAAAACAUUCAAGCAGGAAAUUUGCAAUUCUGUCAGAAGCUUAUCCAAUAUCUUCACUUGACCCUUCCUCAAAGGUCUCAUCUAAGAAUUACAACAGCCAUGUUUUGUAUUCAGAACUGGAGAGGAGGCUGGAUCUGAGUGCUCUGGACUGGAUUCUCUUGGUCUGCUGAAACGAUUUGCUCCAGCGCAAAAGGGACCCAUACAGGAUGCCAUGCAAGAAUUAUAACCAGACAUUGUGUACAGCUGGUACAUUAAUUUUGCCAUACACCUCACAUUGAUGGGACAAGUUGACUAAGAAUCCAUAUCAGCAACAUAACAUGAGCAGAACUGAGCUGUCAGGAACAGGACAGCUGUUCUGUUAAAGUUAGAGCUGUGCUAUGCCCAGUCCUCACCAUCUGGAAGUCUUUGGCCAGAGGCAUAAGAUUUGUCCCUAGCAACUGUAACUUGCAUCGUGCAUAGAUGUCUUUCCAUCAUGAAUUGCACCCUCUUUCUGACACAGCAAUAAUCCCCAAUUACAGUCUGAAGUGCAGAAAUACAGCAUUAAAAUUGUGUGAAGGAAAAAAGCUCCUAUUCAGAUAAUAUCCUUGAGAAAGCUGCAGCUUAGAGAGAUACAUUUUUUAAUGUAAGACACAACUAUUGGCUUUAGUCUUACAGUUGGAUUCAUUUAUAAAUGCUAACCCUGACAUAUAAUCUUCAAUAAAAGCUAUGCUUUUCUAUCUAAUUUCCAUCUUUCAACUGAGACAUUAGCGUUCCUUAUUCAAUGUUCUCUCUCAAGCAUUACCUCAGAUUAAUUGGCACUGUAUAAAAUAAGUUGCUGGGUGCACAAUGGUAACCAUGGUAGCCUUCAUACUAUCUUCACAAUGCAUAUGUAAUUCAGUCCUCAGGAAAACAUAAUUAGUAUGUAGCAUAAUAUAUUCUUUCUAAACACAUCAGCAUGGUAUGAAAUACACACAAUCAAAGCGAACUAUGCCUACAACCUGCACUGAAAUGGGCUACCAGUACUGAGCAGUUACAUUGCAAACAAAUACACUAUUAGUUUUGCUGCAGCAUCCUGAACUUGCAUAACGCUUACUCUGUAACUGUGUCUUCUCUUUAUGACCAGAAGGUGGCAAUGUUCUACCUAUUAACUGCUGGUUUUAAACAGUCAAUAGACCUGUACUCGUGCCGGAAUAGUGAAAUUUCUUCCCAGCCAAGGCAGAAAGUUAUCAGUCAUUAACUGCUGUGCUUACUAGGUCCCAAUACUUCGGUCGUGACACCUUCAGUUAAAGUGACACAAAUACUAAAAUACUGUUCAAGUUGUGUGACAGUACAUUCCUGUGCAUCUUCUUAUGAGGAAUAUUAAAAGGCAGAUGCAGCUUAAAAACAAACUAUGUUCUCUGUUACUCAGCACGUAUAAUCAGGUCUUAUUCAGGAUACUCCUGGUGUGUUUAUGCAAGACAAGAACUGGUAAGCAGCAAGUGAAAAGUUUUGCGAGCCUGGCUGCUCAGAAGACACCACCUAACCACUCAAAGAAGCUUAUUUCAAGAAAUAUAACCCAUUUGAGGUGACCUUCAUAAUUCAUGUGAGGAUUUGCCAGUUGUGAAUACUGAAGUCAUCUGAAACAUCUGCCAACGAGGCCUUAAUACCACA